rnacentral:rRNA from 1 species
UACAGAGGUCUCAAGCGUUGUUCGGAUUCAUUGGGCGUAAAGGGUGCGUAGGCGGCGCGGUAAGUCGGGUGUGAAAUCUCGGAGCUUAACUCCGAAACUGCAUUCGAUACUGCUGUGCUUGAGGACUGGAGAGGAGACUGGAAUUUACGGUGUAGCGGUGAAAUGCGUAGAUAUCGAUAAGGAAGACCAGUGGCGAAGGCGGGUCUCUGGACGAGU